rnacentral:misc_RNA from 1 species
GAUGAAGAACGCAGCGAACUGCGAUAAGUAAUGUGAAUUGCAGAAUUCAGUGAAUCAUCGAGUCUUUGAACGCACAUUGCGCCCCCUGGCAUUCCGGGGGGCAUGCCUGUCCGAGCGUCAUUGCUGCCCUUCAAGCCCGGCUUGUGUGUUGGGUCGUCGUCCCCCCCGGGGGACGGGCCCGAAAGGCAGCGGCGGCACCGCGUCCGGUCCUCGAGCGUAUGGGGCUUUGUCACCCGCUCGAUUAGGGCCGGCCGGGCGCCAGCCGGCGUCUCCAACCUUCUAUUUUAACAGGUUGACCUCGGAUCAGGUAGGGAUACCCGCUGAACUUAAGCAUAUCAAUAAGCGGAGGA